UACGGAGGGUGCAAACGUUGCUCGGAAUCAUUGGGCGUAAAGAGCGUGUAGGCGGCUUGGUAGGUCUCGCGUCAAAACCUGAGGCUCAACCUCAGUUCGCGUGGGAAACCACCCAGCUAGAGUCCGGAAGAGGAGAACGGAAUUCCCAGUGUAGCGGUGAAAUGCGCAGAUAUUGGGAAGAACACCAGUGGCGAAGGCGGUUCCCUGGGACGGUACUGACGCUGAGACGCGAAAGCGUGGGGAGCGAACAGG
rnacentral:rRNA from 1 species